GGCACCCACACUAUUCUGCAUUUGUAGGACAAUGAACUGCCUGCCAAAAGGGCCUGUAGCAGUAAGUGUCCAAGCAUCUGCUGUUUCAGCUGGAACUUUUCUUAACCUGGAGAGGAGCAGACACUUAAAACCAGGAAGAGUGAAGGAAACGCCACCAGCCAGCUGGUCAUAUGCAUAAGGUUUCUGGGCGUGAUAAGAAAUAGCAGCAACAUUUGGAAACUGCCUGGGUAGAGAACCCUUUAGAGACCACCCUGGGGAUACAUCUCUAUGGAAACAGAUGCUGCAAUUAAAGACCUGGACAGAGAAUGGGGACAUGAAUAAUGGUGGUGCCCAGUAUUAGCACAACACGUCAUUUGUCACCACUGAAGGGCAAAUGCAAAACCCUUGAAACAUCCCUGGAAAAGAGAAGGGGAGAAAAGUACAAGCUCCUGGGAAAUGUGAUUUUCCACUCAGCAAGGAUGGGAGAGUCUCCAUGUUGGAACAGACCACACUUUUUGAACAUUGGCACAUACAAUGACAUUUAUAAUGUGGACGUUAUGUGGGACCGAUUAAUCACACAAUUGGUCUGUGGCUAUUUCCCAGGCAGGUAUUUGACUGCAUGUAUAUGCGCUCCCUGUUUCUCGAGAAACUCUAUCCUGCCUAUUUUGAGUAGGAAGAAGAACAUGGGGUCCAUGUAAUGGAAGGAAAAUGAGUUUGCUGUGAAUGAUGAGUCUGAGCAGUUUCUACUCAAUGUGAAUGUGAUUUUGUUUCCUAAAGUGUACAGAAUAUUCUAAAGAAGAAUAGAGGGUUGGUGAUCUUUCAUUCAGGUCAGAAUAAACUGGAAAGGCUUGGCUUUAGACAGGGUAGGGACAUUUCAACUUGAACUAGUUCCCCAGCCAGGGAGCUGUCGCCCCAAGUCUGUGGGCAACAGGAGCAAUUCCAGGUACCAUCAUAAGUCUGAAGCUGCUGCUCUAUCUCCUGCCUCUACCACCUUGGUCCUGGGAAUAUAAGAGGAUCAGAAGGUAUUCGUACUGGGGAAGAGAAACAAGGCAGGGGGUGGUCUAGGGCUAGGAAAGGCCACUGAUCAGGUUAUCUAUGAUCUGGCAGACGGGUAGAGUCUUGGAGUCCUCGGUGGCUUUCUUAGGCUUUUAGUGAGCUUUACAUGUAGAGCACCAACCAGGUACAUGGCAGGCAGGGGUGCCGGGUGGCCAGGAGGCCAGGAGGCCAGGAGGCCAGGAGGCCUCCAAGCCCCUGGCAAGUCUUCACUCUGGGCUUCUCUCUCUCUCUCUCU